rnacentral:rRNA from 1 species
CCUACGGGUGGCUGCAGUGAGGAAUAUUGGUCAAUGGACGGAAGUCUGAACCAGCCAAGCCGCGUGAAGGACGACUGCCCUAUGCGUUGUAAACUUCUUUUGUAAAGGGAUAAAGUUAGGCACGUGUGCCUGACUGAGAGUACUUUACGAAUAAGCAUCGGCUAACUCCGUGCCAGCAGCCGCGGUAAUACGGAGGAUCCGAGCGUUAUCCGGAUUUAUUGGGUUUAAAGGGUGCGUAGGUGGAUUGUUAAGUUAGUGGUGAAAAGUUGGGGCUUAACCCUGAAAUUGCAUUUGAUACUGGCAGUCUUGAGAAGAGAUGAGGUAGGCGGAAUGCGUGGUGUAGCGGUGAAAUGCUUAGAUAUCACGCAGAACUCCGAUUGCGAAGGCAGCUUACCAAUC